rfam:Canis lupus familiaris chromosome 1, whole genome shotgun sequence.
GGGGGGAGGCCGGGUCCUGGGCUGUGUCCCGGCGCCCUGUGCUCCGGGGCCUGCGCUGUUGGAUUCGCGCUCCCGGGCCGCGCAGCCCCCU